rnacentral:rRNA from 1 species
AACGAACGCUGGCGGCAUGCUUAACACAUGCAAGUCGAACGAGACCUUCGGGCCUAGUGGCGCACGGGUGCGUAACGCGUGGGAACCUGCCCUUAGGUUCGGAACAACUCCCCGAAGGGUGUGUUAAUACCGGUUAAUGUAUUACGACCAACGAUCUAUCGCUGUUGGAUGGGGCCGGGUUGGUUUCGCUAGUUGGUAGGGUACAAGCAUAUCAAGGCGACGAUCCAUAGCAGGUCUGAUAGGAUGAUCCGCCACGCUGGGACUGAGACACGGCCCAGAAUGCGACGGGAGGCAGCAGUGGAGAAUAUUAGACACUGAGGGAAAGUCUGGUCCAGCAGUGCCGCGUGAGUGAUGAAGGCGUUAGGGUUGUACAGCUGUUUUACACGAGAUGAUAAUGACAGUACCGGGAGAAUAAGCUCCGGCUAACUACGUG